GCCAGGUGCAGUGGCAUGCACCUGUAGCCCCAGGUAUGUGGGAGGCUGAGGCAGGAGGAUUAAAUGGGCUUGGAAGUUGUGGACUGUAGUGUGCUGUGUCAAUCAGGUGCUUUUUCUAGGUUUGGCAUCAAUACGGUGAACUUCUGGAGGCAAGGAACCACCAGAUUUUUUAAGUAAUGGUGAAGUGAACCAACACAGGUUGAAAAUAAAGCAGGUCAAGAUUCCCAUGCUGUAUCACUGCAUCCCAGCCUGGGCAACAUAGUAAGACCCUACCUCU
rnacentral:sRNA from 1 species